UUUUCUGGAGGCCCCCAAGGAGGAAGUGCGGUUCCCAGCAUGCCUCGCAUCCGGCCGUGGCCGUGGCCGCCCCGCCCCACGCCGCUCGAGACCCCCACGGGCUCUCCGAGAGGCCCCCCCCAGCGCCGCCACGGUGGCCCUGAGGCCCCCACGCCCACCGCCGCUCAGCCCCCCGAGGCCACCGGGCACUUCUGGAGCCCAGGCUGGGGGCUGCACCUGUUCAGGAGGAGGCUGGAAACUUGGGCCUGCCCUCAGGAGGCGCUCACUCAAGCCCAGCGUCAGUGCUGCGCGGCCCCGAGGGACGGGCGCGCCAGCCCCAGGGAACUGAGUUUUCUCUUGCGAGCCAGGACACGUUGGCGCCAGAAAGCCGAUUCGCCGAAACCCUCAGCACCGGGAAGCCACUGGACCGAUGGGGUAGAAAAGAUCGCGAUCUCCACUUAGCACGGGGAUUGACCACAUCGGGGAAACGUGUUUCACGUCCGCGGGCACGUCUCCUGGGUUGUCGAGUAAAAUGCGCUUCUGGUGCCAGGGAUUUUAAAGAUGGAAAGCCUCUGCGGAGAGGUUGGCAGUAAGCCUAGAACUGGAGGGAUAGAGCGCGGAAAGGGACAGGACUCCACAGGCGGAUUUGAAAGGGAGCAACAACAGAGCCAGAGAUUUGGUGGCAGAGGCCAGAGCAAAGGGCACUUCUGACAGCUUUGGGGACACCAAGAAACAGGCAUAAAACUCUGCAAACACUGAGUUUACUGUCUUUCUCACCAUUUCCAAGGGCCAUGGGUACCUCUGUGAAAAAGGAAGAGAGAUCCACAUCACCCAUAAUGCCUGAACUGAAAAGUAGGAAUACAAGCGUUUAUUUUUAUAGAGGUGAGCCAAAGAACCUAGAAGGAAGAAGGAAAAAUUUUCUUCCCCUGCACAUGGCACUUGAAGCCCUAAGUCAUGUGGCUCCUGCUUGCCUUCAGUGUCCUCUCCAGACCUUCUCUGCUUUUCCCCUUUAUGCCUGGCUUUCUCCCAUUUAACCAUCAGGACUCACUACAGGCUCCACUUUCUUGGGGGGAAGCAAGUCUUUUCUGACCCCAACAGGUACAGGUAAGGGCCUAUCUUUUGGGCUCCUAUAUCACCCUACGCGUAUCUUUAUUAUGAUACUUACCCACGUUGUAUUACACGUUCUAUCAUAUGUCUGCUCCUGCCAUUCCUCCACUAAAACACUGUAUUUGAGUCAUCUUUGUAUCCCUAACACUUAGCACAGUGCCUGGCCUCUAAUAGGUAAUCAAGAACAUUUGUUGAACUGCAUCAAGAAAUCUAUAAGACGGUACACUGCUGAUUGAUUUUGUCUAAAUAGAAGAGGAUCCCAUGUAUCAUAUAUAU